UACAGAGGGUGCAAGCGUUAAUCGGAAUUACUGGGCGUAAAGCGCGCGUAGGUGGUUAGUUAAGUCUGAUGUGAAAUCCCAGGGCUCAACCUUGGAAUGGCACCGGAUACUGGCUGGCUAGAGUAUGGUAGAGGGGUGUGGAAUUUCCUGUGUAGCGGUGAAAUGCGUAGAUAUAGGAAGGAACAUCAGUGGCGAAGGCGACACCCUGGACUGAUACUGACACUGAGGUGCGAAAGCGUGGGGAGCAAACAGG
rnacentral:rRNA from 1 species